GACGAACGCUGGCGGCGUGCCUAAUACAUGCAAGUAGAACGCUGAAGGAGGAGCUUGCUUCUCCGGAUGAGUUGCGAACGGGUGAGUAACGCGUAGGUAACCUGCCUGGUAGCGGGGGAUAACUAUUGGAAACGAUAGCUAAUACCGCAUAACAGUAGAUGUUGCAUGACAUUUGCUUAAAAGGUGCAAUUGCAUCACUACCAGAUGGACCUGCGUUGUAUUAGCUAGUUGGUGAGGUAACGGCUCACCAAGGCGACGAUACAUAGCCGACCUGAGAGGGUGAUCGGCCACACUGGGACUGAGACACGGCCCAGACGCCUACGGGAGGCAGCAGUAGGGAAUCUUCGGCAAGGGACGGAAGUCUGACCGAGCAACGCCGCGUGAGUGAAGAAGGGUUUCGGAUCGUAAAGCUCUGUUGUAAGAGAAGAACGAGUGUGAGAGUGGAAAGUUCACACUGUGACGGUAUCUUACCAGAAAGGGACGGCUAACUACGUG
rnacentral:rRNA from 1 species